UUUCCUACGGGAGGCAGCAGUAGGGAAUCUUCCACAAUGGGCGAAAGCCUGAUGGAGCAACGCCGCGUGGGUGAAGAAGGUCUUCGGAUCGUAAAACUCUGUUGGUAGAGAAGAACGUUGGUGAGAGUGGAAAGCUCAUCAAGUGACGGUAACUACCCAGAAAGGGACGGCUAACUACGUGCCAGCAGCCGCGGUAAUACGUAGGUCCCGAGCGUUGUCCGGAUUUAUUGGGCGUAAAGAGAGCGCAGGUGGUUUAUUAAGUCUGGAAUAAAAGGCAGU
rnacentral:rRNA from 1 species